AUCAACUUUCGAUGGUAGGAUAGAGGCCUACCAUGGUGGUAACGGGUAACGGGGUGUUAGGGCACGACACCGGAGAGGGAGCCUGAGAAACGGCUACCACAUCCAAGGAUGGCAGCAGGCGCGCAAAUUACCCAAUCCCGACACGGGGAGGUAGUGACAAUAAAUAACAAUACGGGGUUCUUUUGGAUUUCGUAAUUGGAAUGAGUACAAUUUAAAUCUCUUAACGAGGAACAAUUGGAGGGCAAGUCUGGUGCCAGCAGCCGCGGUAAUUCCAGCUCCAAUAGCGUAUAUUAAAGUUGUUGCAGUUAAAAAGCUCGUAGUUGAAUUUCGGGAUCAGUGGGUCGGUCGUGCCACUGGUAUGCACUGGCUCUACUGGUUCCUCCUUCUUGAAGAACUGUAAUGCCAUUAAUUUGGUGUUGCAGGGAAACAGGACUGUUACUUUGAAAAAAUUAGAGUGUUUAAAGCAGGCAAUCGCUUGAAUACAUUAGCAUGGAAUAAUGAAAUAGGACGUUCGAUCCUAUUUUGUUGGUUUCUAGGAUUGACGUAAUGAUUAAUAGGGAUAGUUGGGGGCAUUAGUAUUCAAUUGUCAGAGGUGAAAUUCUUGGAUUUAUUGAAGACUAACUACUGCGAAAGCAUUUGCCAAGGAUGUUUUCAUUAAUCAAGAACGAAAGUUAGGGGAUCGAAGACGAUCAGAUACCGUCGUAGUCUUAACCAUAAACUAUGCCGACUAGGGAUCGGAUGAUGUUAAUUUUAUAAUGACUCGUUCGGCGCCUUACGGGAAACCAAAGUGUUUGGGUUC
rnacentral:rRNA from 1 species